GUCUAUAUAAAUUUAAUAUUUAGUCUAACCUGCCCAGUGAAGAUUAAACGGCCGCGGUAUAUUGACCGUGCAAAGGUAGCAUAAUAAUUAGUUUUUUAAUUGAAAACUAGAAUGAAAGGUUGGACAAAGAAUAAACUGUCUUUAACUUUUAAAUUAAAUUUUAUUUUUAAGUCAAAAAGCUUAAAUAAAUAAAAAAGACGAUAAGACCCUAUAAAUCUUAAUAAAAAUUAAUUUUAUAAUAAUUAUUUGUUUACUUUUUUUAGAAUUAUUAAUAUUUAGUUGGGGCAACAAGAAUAUAAAUUAUAAAAAUUAUUCUACACUAAAACAAAAAUAUUUGUAAAUAAAGAUCCUUUAUUAGAGAGUAAAAGUUUAAGUUACUUUAGGGAUAACAGCGUAAUUUUUUUUGAGAGUUCAUAUCGAAAAAAAAGUUUGCGACCUCGAUGUUGAAUUAAAAUUUAUUUUAAGGUGCAGAAGCCUGAAAAUUAAGUCUGUUCGACUUUUGAAAUUUU
rnacentral:rRNA from 1 species